rnacentral:rRNA from 1 species
AAAACUAGCCAGUCUUUUGGGUAUGAAACCAUUUGGGCGAGAGUAGUACUAGGAUGGGUGACCUCCUGGAAAGUCCUCGUGAAAGAGUUU